rnacentral:rRNA from 1 species
UACGAAGGGGGCUAGCGUUGCUCGGAAUUACUGGGCGUAAAGGGCGCGUAGGCGGCUCAUACAGUCAGGCGUGAAAUUCCUGGGCUCAACCUGGGGGCUGCGCUUGAGACGUGUGGGCUUGAGGACAGGAGAGGCUCGUGGAAUUCCCAGUGUAGAGGUGAAAUUCGUAGAUAUUGGGAAGAACACCGGUGGCGAAGGCGGCCCACUGGAUCGGUACUGACGCUGAGGUGCGAAAGCGUGGGGAGCAAACAGG